UACUGUUCAAUGCGCUUGAUUCGGUUGUUGUCUCUCGAGGGGAGGUUCCACCAGGGAAAGAGCUUGUGCAUGAGUCUGCAAGGAGACUUCUUUUGGAGUUGCUUGAGCUCAGUGAGAAGCCUGUGAACCCUGUUUUGCCCAAACCUGCGGCCAAGGUAGCGUUGCCUCCUAAGGAGAGGGUUUUUAAAUCGAGGAGUGAUGAGCCUUCUCAGCGUGUUCGGUCUCAGUACAAUGCAGAUUGGGCGUGUCCUAAGUAAGUGACUUCUAAGAAUGUUUGGCUCUUUUGCCAUGUCUUUAGAAGCUCUUAACUUACUGAAUCUUGAAGAUGUAUCCAAUACUGUUGUUAGCUUAUUUGGAUGAAGAGUUUAUAACAUUGCUUUGAGGAAAUUAGUGUUUUUUGUUGUAGAUUUUCUGACAUAGCUUCUUUGUGUGUUUCUCUACAGGUGUGACUUUUUAAACUUUGCGAGAAAUGAAAGAUGCCGAGAGUGCAAUGAGGUAGCUGACAGACGAUCUGUUGCUGCUGUUGUCAAGGAAGGAGACUGGCUAUGUCCUGAGUAAGUCUAUAUCUGAUAAUUGCCUGUUGAAUAGAAGCCUUUUAUGCCAUACCCUCAUUGAAUAUAACCUUGCUGAUUCCACAGGUGCAAUUUCUCAAACUUCUCAAGAAACCAGAGCUGUCUGAAGUGCAAAGCAAAGGGGCCAAAGAGAAGUUCAAUGGAGAAUAUUGAAAUGAAAAAGGGAGACUGGAACUGCUCUGGGUUGGUUCAUCUUUACCUCGUCUCUAAAUUGUCUCCUUUGCGUCUAUCUUUUUGUGUUUGUAGUUUGAUUAGUUGCUCCUCCUGUUUACCGAUCGUACCACUUUUGUGUGUGUGUGUUUAGGUGUGGAUUCAUGAACUUUUCUAGCAACAAAAAGUGUAAACAGUGUAGGGANNNNNNNNNNNNNNNNNNNNNNNNNNNNNNNNNNNNNNNNNNNNNNNNNNNNNNNNNNNNNNNNNNNNNNNNNNNNNNNNNNNNNNNNNNNNNNNNNNNNAUUUUGGCCCACGUGGGCUGUCUGUUCAGUACACACAGAACGUCUGUGGGUGUCCGCCAGCACACACAGGACGUCUGUGGCUGUUCGUGUGUGUCUGUGUGUGUCCAUCUGUGUCCGUCAGCACACACUGGAUGUCCGUGGCUGUCCAUCAGUACACAUAUCACCACGUUGGUCCUUGGACUCAGCAAGUUGGUCCUUGGACUCAGCACGCUGGCCCUUCCUGUGGAAUGUUUGGGUGAUUUUGGCCCACGUGGGCUGUCUGUUCAGUACAAACAGGACAUCCGUGGGUGUCCGUCAGCACACACAGGACGUUCGUGUGUGUUGGUCAGCACACAUAGGACGUCCGUGGCUGUCCGUGUGUGUCCCUGUCUGUCCGUCAGCACACUGGACGUCCGUGGCUGUCCAUCAGUACACAUAUCAGCACGUUGGUCCUUGGACUCAGCACGCUGGCCCAACCCGGGGACUGUUUGGGUGAUUUUAGCCACGUGGGCUGUUUGGUCAGUACACAAAGGACGUCCCUGGGUGUUCGCCAGCACACACAGUACGUCCGUGGCUCUCCGUUAGCACACUUAGGACGUCCGUGGCUGUCCGUGUGGGUCUGUGUGUGUCUGUGUCUGUCCGUCAACACACACAGGACGUCUGUGGCUGUCCAUCAGUACACAUAUCAGCACGUUGGUCCUGAUUUUGGCCCACGUGGGCUGUCUGUUUAGUACACACAGGACUUCUGUGGCCGUCCAUCAGCACACACAAGCCAUCCAUGGCUGUCCGUGUGUGUCAGUGUGUGUCUGUGGGUCUCCGUCAGCACACCCAGGACGUCCGUGGCUGUCCAUCAGGACACAUAUCAGCACGUUGGUCCUGAUUUUGGCCCACGUGGGCUGUCUGUUUAGUACACACAGGACUUCUGUGGCCGUCCAUCAGCACACACAAGCCAUCCAUGGCUGUCCGUGUGUGUCAGUGUGUGUCUGUGGGUCUCCGUCAGCACACCCAGGACGUCCGUGGCUGUCCAUCAGGACACAUAUCAGCACGUUGGUCCUGAUUUUGGCCCACGUGGGCUGUCUGUUUAGUACACACAGGACUUCUGUGGCCGUCCAUCAGCACACACAAGCCAUCCAUGGCUGUCCGUGUGUGUCAGUGUGUGUCUGUGGGUCUCCGUCAGCACACCCAGGACGUCCGUGGCUGUCCAUCAGGACACAUAUCAGCACGUUGGUCCUGAUUUUGGCCCACGUGGGCUGUCUGUUUAGUACACACAGGACUUCUGUGGCCGUCCAUCAGCACACACAAGCCAUCCAUGGCUGUCCGUGUGUGUCAGUGUGUGUCUGUGGGUCUCCGUCAGCACACCCAGGACGUCCGUGGCUGUCCAUCAGGACACAUAUCAGCACGUUGGUCCUGAUUUUGGCCCACGUGGGCUGUCUGUUUAGUACACACAGGACUUCUGUGGCCGUCCAUCAGCACACACAAGCCAUCCAUGGCUGUCCGUGUGUGUCAGUGUGUGUCUGUGGGUCUCCGUCAGCACACCCAGGACGUCCGUGGCUGUCCAUCAGGACACAUAUCAGCACGUUGGUCCUGAUUUUGGCCCACGUGGGCUGUCUGUUUAGUACACACAGGACUUCUGUGGCCGUCCAUCAGCACACACAAGCCAUCCAUGGCUGUCCGUGUGUGUCAGUGUGUGUCUGUGGGUCUCCGUCAGCACACCCAGGACGUCCGUGGCUGUCCAUCAGGACACAUAUCAGCACGUUGGUCCUGAUUUUGGCCCACGUGGGCUGUCUGUUUAGUACACACAGGACUUCUGUGGCCGUCCAUCAGCACACACAAGCCAUCCAUGGCUGUCCGUGUGUGUCAGUGUGUGUCUGUGGGUCUCCGUCAGCACACCCAGGACGUCCGUGGCUGUCCAUCAGGACACAUAUCAGCACGUUGGUCCUGAUUUUGGCCCACGUGGGCUGUCUGUUUAGUACACACAGGACUUCUGUGGCCGUCCAUCAGCACACACAAGCCAUCCAUGGCUGUCCGUGUGUGUCAGUGUGUGUCUGUGGGUCUCCGUCAGCACACCCAGGACGUCCGUGGCUGUCCAUCAGGACACAUAUCAGCACGCUGGGCCUUGGACUCAGCACGCUGACCCUUCCCAUGGCCUGUUCAGGUGAUUUUGGCCCAUGUGGGCUGUCUGUUCAGUACACACAGGACUUCUGUGGCCGUCCAUCAGCACACACAAGCCAUCCAUGGCUGUCCGUGUGUGUCAGUGUGUGUCUGUGUGUCUCCGUCAGCACACACAGGACGUCUAUGGCUGUCCAUCAGUACACAGAUCAGCACGCUGGUCGUUCUUGUGAGCUUCGUAGCUCUUGUGAUAGAGCUUAUGUGAUACUUAAGGACACAGAAGCUGAUGCUCGAACCGUUGAUGUCAUGCGUUUGUUACUGUUCAAUGCGCUUGAUUCGGUUGUUGUCUCUCGAGGGGAGGUUCCACCAGGGAAAGAGCUUGUGCAUGAGUCUGCAAGGAGACUUCUUUUGGAGUUGCUUGAGCUCAGUGAGAAGCCUGUGAACCCUGUUUUGCCCAAACCUGCGGCCAAGGUAGCGUUGCCUCCUAAGGAGAGGGUUUUUAAAUCGAGGAGUGAUGAGCCUUCUCAGCGUGUUCGGUCUCAGUACAAUGCAGAUUGGGCGUGUCCUAAGU
rnacentral:lncRNA from 1 species